rnacentral:tRNA from 4 species
CUCACCAUGGUGUAAUGGAUAACACCUGAGAUUCCGGUUCUCAAGCUGGGGGUUCGAUUCCCUCUGGUGAGG